UGUCGUAAGAUGUUGGGUUAAGUCCCGCAACGAGCGCAACCCUUAUCUUUAAUUGCCAGCAUUCAGUUGGGCACUUUAAAGAGACUGCCGGUGUUAAACCGGAGGAAGGUGGGAUGACGUCAAGUCCUCAUGGCCUUUAUGCUUAGGGCUACACACGUGCUACAAUGGGUGGUACAAAGAGAAGCCAACUCGCGAGAGCGCGCCAAUCUCAAAAAGCCAUCCUCAGUUCGGAUUGGAGUCUGCAACUCGACUCCAUGAAGUUGGAAUCGCUAGUAAUCGCGGAUCAGCAUGUCACGGUGAAUACGUUCCCGGGUCUU
rnacentral:rRNA from 1 species